UGACCUGUCUCAGGUUGUCUAAG
rnacentral:misc_RNA from 1 species